GAAACAGUCGGCCGGCGCAUAAGCGGCGUCGGGCGCCGCAGUCGCGCGCUUGCACUCUCAGCGGUGAGCGGAGUUUGUAACGUGCGUUUAAUAGCUGGGAAACGUCUUCUGGUCUGUUUUGUUUGGCCGUGUUUCGCGUACAUACGGUCGCCCGGUGUAUAUAAUAUUAAUCCCCUCCCGCGUGUACCUCGUGUCAGUUUUUGUGUGUCUCGGAGCAACUUGGCGGAAGAGAACCAGGACAAAACGAAAGAAGAAGCUUUUACGUACAGGCGAUAUAAUAUCAUCCAGCUAGAGAGAAGUGUGGCACACGGCGAGACACGAACCAACGUCGCGCUCCCCUUUCACCGAUACAUCGAAAACCCAACAACCACGCUCACGCACAAACACAGGAAAGUGAAACGACGACGAGAGUAAUCGUAGAAAAGGGAAAAAGAGAAAAACGAGAGAAAAAAAAAAAGAAAAGGAAAGAAAAAAGGAGGAAGAAAGUUAGACGAGGUGGUGCAUCGAAGGGGAACACUCCCUUAAUAGGCAGACGAAAACGACGCGCGGCGGACGUGUGUGGUGUGGUUUUUCACGGGGCGAGGCACUCAGAGUCAUCCCGGUGCUCAGUUCGUCUAUUUUUUUUUUUUUUUUUUAUUAUUUUUUUUCCUUAUUGUCCUCUAGGAUCUCGCGCGUUCCUCUGUUUUCCUUUCUCCGAAUCUCGUGGUGUAUUUUGACAGACCGGAUCCGGCGGAUCAGUGACGUGUGAUACACGUGUAUUUUGUAAUAACACAGUGCAAGUGUUUCUUGAUUUGGCGCCCGUGCUCCAGGGGAUCGUGUCGCCCGCUGGCCACCGUCGGUUCAUCGUGUACACCUCGUUAUAUGGUGGUGGUGGUUGAGCACCCGUGGGAGGAGGGCGGCAGCGGGGCCCAGGGCGAUGUGGCUAGCAAGUGGGAAAGCUCGAGGAGGUGAUAACGACUUCUGACCUUCCGUGAGAGCGCGCACCGCGGCGUAGAGGACGCCGCCGUCGAUCGUCAAGCUCACUAUUCGGAAGAAAAACGGGAAGAAAGAAACGGAGGAAGGAGAAGUGGAGGAAACCGACUACGAAAACUAUCACGAGAGAGAAAUCGUGAGACGGAGAAAAAGACGAAAGGGCGGAGACAGAGAAAGAGAGAGAGAGACAAAGAAACUCAGAGAUAGAGAAAGGGCCCUAAAGGGGAGGAGAAGGAAACAUUAAGAGGAGAGAGAAAGAGAGAGAGAGAGAGAGAGAGAGAUAGAAGGGAAGGAAAAGAAGAUAAAUCCCUUUCUCGUGGCCAGGUUGAGCACACACACAAUACAUUCUCCUUUUGCAGCGUGAUAUCGCUCCUAUACAUUUAAAAAAGAAAGAACAAAAAAAAAAAAAAAAUAACUUCUACCUUGAGAACAUAUACCUCGUGCGUACAAGUACCUUCAAACUUAACCUCUUUUUCGCAGCGUAAUAGUGCCUAGGCCCCUCCGAAGAACGCGACUACAAAUAAUAAUAUUAAUAAUAAUAAUAAUAAUAAUAGUAACAAUAAUAAUAAUAUUAUUAAUAAUAUUAAUAAUUAAUAGCAACGUUAUAAAUAAAUCUAUACAGAAAGAAAGAUCUAAUGAGAGACGAGAGAAAGAAGUUUUAACGUUUUAAUCGUCGCCCAUCUGUUUCGUUCAACUUGCAAGUCGCAAACAAUACGUAAGCAUACGUAAACAAACAUAAACAAACGCAAACCCAGUGACGGUAUCUGUAUGUAUACGGACGCGAACGUAUGCAAGAGAGAGAGAGGAGAUCGGUCCGCUGGAAUCAAGAUCGAGACUGUUGAUCGAAGAUUGGACAGGAUCUAAAGAAGAAGGAUCGUGGUGGUGCGUUGAUAGAUCUUAUCAGGAAUUCACAUUGAUAACCGUACCUCUCCCCUUUCGAGCCUCACCCCCCGCCCCCCCCCACUCCUCCCUUUCGCCCUUUAAUCGAUUAAUACGAACCAGGACAGCGAAGUACCUGCAGACACAGAUAUAUUUAUAAGAAUAAUUUAUAUGAUAUAUGAAUCUAUAUAUUAUAUAAAUAGAAAUGAAUAUAUGAUACAUACAUACAUACAUAAACAGACAAGAGACACCGAUAGUAAUAAAAUAACAAAGAAAGAGGAGCCUGGUGAAAGGCGACAAGUAACAGCUAAAGGCAAAGAGAAUAAUAAUAAUAGUAAUAACAAUAACGAUAAUAUUAAUAAGAAUAAUCAUUACUACGAUACUAAUAAGCGAUAGUUGGUAAGAGAAAGAGAGGAAGGGAAGAGGAAGAGAGAAGAGGAUCGUACAACAGAGUGUGAACGCUUAAAUAAUUCUAGAACGUGCUACGAUUUACUUCUACAUUUUUCUGCGGGUUAAUCUACUCGGCGACUGCGGGAGCCUGUUCUACAUAUACGAUCAAGAUACCACAAAACACGAG